GCAGUCGACGACUCUGGUAUUGAUUGGUGCUUGCAUCAUGAUUUACAUUUGAGUGAGUGGCGAACUGGUGAGUAACACGUGGGAAACCUGCCCAGAAGCGGGGGAUAACACCUGGAAACAGAUGCUAAUACCGCAUAACAACUUGGACCGCAUGGUCCGAGUUUGAAAGAUGGCUUCGGCUAUCACUUUUGGAUGGUCCCGCGGCGUAUUAGCUAGAUGGUGGGGUAACGGCUCACCAUGGCAAUGAUACGUAGCCGACCUGAGAGGGUAAUCGGCCACAUUGGGACUGAGACACGGCCCAAACUCCUACGGGAGGCAGCAGUAGGGAAUCUUCCACAAUGGACGAAAGUCUGAUGGAGCAACGCCGCGUGAGUGAAGAAGGGUUUCGGCUCGUAAAACUCUGUUGUUAAAGAAGAACAUAUCUGAGAGUAACUGUUCAGGUAUUGACGGUAUUUAACCAGAAAGCCACGGCUAACUACGUGCCAGCAGCCGCGGUAAUACGUAGGUGGCAAGCGUUGUCCGGAUUUAUUGGGCGUAAAGCGAGCGCAGGCGGUUUUUUAAGUCUGAUGUGAAAGCCUUCGGCUCAACCGAAGAAGUGCAUCGGAAACUGGGAAACUUGAGUGCAGAAGAGGACAGUGGAACUCCAUGUGUAGCGGUGAAAUGCGUAGAUAUAUGGAAGAACACCAGUGGCGAACGCGGCUGUCUGGUCUGUAACUGACGCUGAGGCUCGAAAGUAUGGGUAGCAACAGGAUUAGAUACCCUGGUAGUCCAUACCGUAACGAUGAUGCUAGUGUUGAGGGUUUCGCCCUCAGUGCUGCAGCUACGC
rnacentral:rRNA from 2 species